GACGAACGCUGGCGGCGUGCCUAACACAUGCAAGUCGAACGGAGAUAUGAUUUCGGUUAUAUCUUAGUGGCGAACGGGUGAGUAACGCGUGAGCAACCUGACUCUUAGAGGGGGAUAACACUCGGAAACGGGUGCUAAUACCGCAUAAGACCACGACAUGGCAUCAUGACGAGGUCAAAGGAGCAAUCCGCUGAGAGAGGGGCUCGCGUCCCAUUAGAUAGAUGGCGGGGUAACGGCCCACCAUGUCAACGAUGGGUAGCCGAGCUGAGAGGCUGAUCGGCCACACUGGAACUGAGACACGGUCCAGACUCCUACGGGAGGCAGCAGUGGGGAAUAUUGGGCAAUGGGCGCAAGCCUGACCCAGCAACGCCGCGUGAGGGAAGAAGGCUUUCGGGUUGUAAACCUCUGUCCUUGGUGACGAAACAAAUGACGGUAGCCAAGGAGGAAGCCCCGGCUAACUACGUGCCAGCCGCCGCAGUAA
rnacentral:rRNA from 1 species